rnacentral:rRNA from 1 species
GGAGGCCCGCUAGUACUGCAGUAGAACGCUGAAGAGAGGAGCUUGCUCUUCUUGGAUGAGUUGCGAACGGGUGAGUAACGCGUAGGUAACCUGCCUUGUAGCGGGGGAUAACUAUUGGAAACGAUAGCUAAUACCGCAUAACAAUGGAUGACACAUGUCAUUUAUUUGAAAGGGGCAAUUGCUCCACUACAAGAUGGACCUGCGUUGUAUUAGCUAGUAGGUGAGGUAAUGGCUCACCUAGGCGACGAUACAUAGCCGACCUGAGAGGGUGAUCGGCCACACUGGGACUGAGACACGGCCCAGACUCCUACGGGAGGCAGCAGUAGGGAAUCUUCGGCAAUGGGGGCAACCCUGACCGAGCAACGCCGCGUGAGUGAAGAAGGUUUUCGGAUCGUAAAGCUCUGUUGUAAGUCAAGAACGGGUGUGAGAGUGGAAAGUUCACACUGUGACGGUAGCUUACCAGAAAGGGACGGCUAACUACGUGCCAGCAGCCGCGGUAAUACGUAGGUCCCGAGCGUUGUCCGGAUUUAUUGGGCGUAAAGCGAGCGCAGGCGGUUUGAUAAGUCUGAAGUUAAAGGCUGUGGCUCAACCAUAGUUCGCUUUGGAAACUGUCAAACUUGAGUGCAGAAGGGGAGAGUGGAAUUCCAUGUGUAGCGGUGAAAUGCGUAGAUAUAUGGAGGAACACCGGUGGCGAAAGCGGCUCUCUGGUCUGUAACUGACGCUGAGGCUCGAAAGCGUGGGGAGCGAACAGGAUUAGAUACCCUGGUAGUCCACGCCGUAAACGAUGAGUGCUAGGUGUUGGAUCCUUUCCGGGAUUCAGUGCCGCAGCUAACGCAUUAAGCACUCCGCCCUGGGGAGUACGACCGCAAGGUUGAAACUCAAAGGAAUUGACGGGGGCCCCGCACAAGCGGUGGAGCAUGUGGUUUAAUUCGAAGCAACGCGAAGAACCUUACCAGGUCUUGACAUCCCGAUGCUAUUUCUAGAGAUAGAAAGUUACUUCGGUACAUCGGUGACAGGUGGUGCAUGGUUGUCGUCAGCUCGUGUCGUGAGAUGUUGGGUUAAGUCCCGCAACGAGCGCAACCCCUAUUGUUAGUUGCCAUCAUUCAGUUGGGCACUCUAGCGAGACUGCCGGUAAUAAACCGGAGGAAGGUGGGGAUGACGUCAAAUCAUCAUGCCCCUUAUGACCUGGGCUACACACGUGCUACAAUGGUUGGUACAACGAGUUGCGAGUCGGUGACGGCGAGCUAAUCUCUUAAAGCCAAUCUCAGUUCGGAUUGUAGGCUGCAACUCGCCUACAUGAAGUCGGAAUCGCUAGUAAUCGCGGAUCAGCACGCCGCGGUGAAUACGUUCCCGGGCCUUGUACACACCGCCCGUCACACCACGAGAGUUUGUAACACCCGAAGUCGGUGAGGUAACCUUUGGAGCCAGCCGCCUAAGAUGACGAG